rnacentral:rRNA from 1 species
GAAAGGGAAUCGGGUUAAUAUUCCCGAACCCGGAUGCGGAGAUCGGCCUCUCGGGGCCCAUUGCGGUAACGCAAACGAACUCGGAGAAGUCGGCGGGAGUCCCGGGAAGAGUUGUCUUUUCUUUGUAAGGGACGGACUCCCUGGAAUCGGCUCGCCCGGAGAGAGGGAUGUUGUUCCCGUAAAGCACCGCGGCUCUUGCGGUGUCCGGAGCACUCCCGCCGGCCCUUGAAAAUCCGAGGGAGAGAAAAUGAUUUUCGCACCGGACCGUACCCAUAUCCGCAGC